GAAAUUUUGUGGAUCCACCAUUGUUUUCACCUUAACCAACCUAUCAAAAUUUUUAUUGAAAUACUUGGUCCCAUAGACUCUUCCUUUUUCUAAACUAUGUUGUGAAACUUGAUCAUUUAUACCAAUAUCAAGAUCCCUGUAAUUCAAAUAAGCUUGUCUUGGAUUCUUUGAAACAUAUGGGGUCAUGAAACUGUACAAAUCUCUUAUUUGUGAUAAGUACUCUUUUUCAGCUGUUAAUCCUUCUUCAUGCCAAUUCAUUGAAUACUGAAUCUUGAAAAGUAUACCUGCUCUGUGAGGAAAUGGUGUUUCUCCUUCUGCAAUUUCACCCAUUCUUCCCCCAUAUGGAUUGAACACCAUUCCUGCUUUUCCUAAAGAAAUCAUUUUAGCGAAAAUGGACUCCAACUCCUUCUUAGGAAUUGGGGUUUGUACGUAAUCAGAUUUUCUUUUCAAGUGAGUUAAUGGAUCCCCUUUUCGGUUCAACAACGCUUCUGGUUUUGUCGUGUUGUCGAAAUUUGCCCAUUGUAGUACGGAAUCAAUCCAACUCAUUUCCACACAAUCUUGUUUUUUCAAUCCCAAAAGAGGGAAUUGUUUGCUUAUUAGAGACAUUAAUCUAGUAGAAUCACCCAAGAACAACGCGACGAACGUUGCUCGUAUCGAUUUACUACUCUUUGCACCCUUGGACUUGCUUUUCAC
rnacentral:misc_RNA from 1 species